rnacentral:rRNA from 1 species
GACGAACGCUGGCGGCGUGCUUAACACAUGCAAGUCGAACGGAAAGGCCCCUUUGGGGGUCCUCGAGUGGCGAACGGGUGAGAAACACGUGAGUAACCUGCCCUUGACUUCGGGAUAACUUCAGGAAACUGGGGCUAAUACCGGAUAGGAAUCCUUGCUGCAUGGUGGGGGUUGGAAAGCUUCGGCGGUUUUGGAUGGACUCGCGGCUUAUCAGCUUGUUGGUGGGGUAGUGGCUUACCAAGGCUUUGACGGGUAGCCGGCCUGAGAGGGCGACCGGCCACAUUGGGACUGAGAUACGGCCCAGACUCCUACGGGAGGCAGCAGUGGGGAAUAUUGCACAAUGGGCGGAAGCCUGAUGCAGCAACGCCGCGUGCGGGAUGACGGCCUUCGGGUUGUAAACCGCUUUCAGCAGGGGCGAAGCUUGUGGUGACGGUACCUGCAGAAGAAGCACCGGCUAACUACGUG